UGCCAGCCGCCGCGGUAAUACGGAGGGUGCAAGCAUUAAUCGGAUUUACUGGGCGUAAAGAGCGCGUAGGCGGGAAUGGAAGUCGGAUGUGAAAUCCCGGAGCUCAACUCCGGAACUGCAUCCGAAACUCCAUUUCUUGAGGAUAGGCGGAGAAGACGGAAUUCCACGUGUAGCGGUGAAAUGCGUAGAUAUGUGGAAGAACACCGGUGGCGAAGGCGGUCUUCUAGCUUAUUCCUGACGCUGAGGCGCGAAAGCAAGGGGAGCGAACAGGAUUAGAUA
rnacentral:rRNA from 1 species